GGAAGGUUGUCCGAGCUGGCCAAAGGAGCACGCCUGGAAAGUGUGUAGGCGUCACAAGCGUCUCAAGGGUUCGAAUCCCUUACCUUCCG
rnacentral:tRNA from 1 species